AGAGUUUGAUCCUGGCUCAGGACGAACGCUGGCGGCGUGCUUAACACAUGCAAGUCGAACGAGACGAUUGAAAGCUUGCUUUUGAAAGUCGAGUGGCAAACGGGUGAGUAACGCGUAGACNACCUGCCGUAAAGAUGGGGACAACAGUCCGAAAGGACUGCUAAUACCGAAUGUUGUGGAACUUCCGCAUGGGAGCUCUACUAAAGAUGGCCUCUACUUGUAAGCUAUCGCUUUACGAUGGGUCUGCGUCUGAUUAGCUAGUUGGUGGGGUAACGGCCUACCAAGGCGACGAUCAGUAGCCGGUCUGAGAGGAUGAACGGCCACAUUGGAACUGAGACACGGUCCAGACUCCUACGGGAGGCAGCAGUGGGGAAUCUUCCGCAAUGGGCGCAAGCCUGACGGAGCAACGCCGCGUGAGUGAAGAAGGGUUUCGACUCGUAAAGCUCUGUUGUCGGGGACGAAUGUGGAGGUUGUGAAUAACAGCUUCCAAUGACGGUACCUGACGAGGAAGCCACGGCUAACUACGUGCCAGCAGCCGCGGUAAUACGUAGGUGGCGAGCGUUGUCCGGAAUUAUUGGGCGUACAGGGAGCGCAGGCGGGAGGUCAAGUCUAUCUUAAAAGUGCAGGGCUCAACCCCGUGAGGGGAUGGAAACUGGUCUUCUUGAGUGCAGGAGAGGAAAGCGGAAUUCCUAGUGUAGCGGUGAAAUGCGUAGAUUUUAGGAGGAACACCAGUGGCGAAGGCGGCUUUCUGGGACUGUAACUGACGCUGAGGCUCGAAAGCGUGCGGAGCCGACCGGAUUGGAUUCCCUGGUUGUUCCACGCCGCUUAACGAUGAAUGCCUAGGUGUAUGGAGGUUUCGACCCUCUCUUUUGCCGGAUU
rnacentral:rRNA from 1 species